GUUAGAAAGUUUUGUGAGCCAAAGUGGGUGCUAUCGUUUACUAUAUACUCUGACUGUUUUUCUUGUGCUUUGCUGUUAUUAUGUAACUGAGCUAAUCGUCUAAUUUAACAUGUGGGGGUUUAAUGCACAGAACCAAACAGUGGAGAGCCAAUCAGCAACCUAAAUUGUACUGCAGAUGCAGAAAGCAUCCAUCUGCAAAAGGUUACCAGGUCAGCGCUGAACCAAAGAUUCACGCUUGAUGCAACUAUGUGAUGGUUACCGGUUGAUCUUUGAUGUUAGCUGGAAUCCUAUCGGUACCUGGUGUUUCCAAACUUCAGCUAGUGGCUGUCAUAACAGACAAGCGAUGGCGCCACAUUGUAUACUAGAAUGGUUACCUAGUGCUGCCAACAGCAGGUUAAGGCAUGUGUCCGUGUAUUCCUGUAAAUUUGAGAAAAUCAAGAAAUAUAUUGAAAGUAGCACCGAUUUUGCUGUGAUGUUA